rnacentral:lncRNA from 1 species
GGGGGGUAAGGUAUGAUAGGCACCAGAUGAAGUAUCCUGGGGGGUAAGGUAUGAUAGGCACCAGAUGAAGUAUCCUGGGGGGGGUAAGGUAUGAUAGGCACCAGAUGAAGUUUCCCAUGGGUAAGGUAUGAUAGGCACCAGAUGAAGUAUCCUGGGGGGUAAGGAAUGAUAGGCACCAGAUGAAGUAUCCUGGGGUAAGGAAUGAUAGGCACCAGAUGAAGUAUCCUGGGGGGGUAAGGUAUGAUAGGCACCAGAUGAAGUAUCCUGGGGGGGGGUAAGGAAUGAUAGGCACCAGAUGAAGUAUCCUGGGGGGUAAGGUAUGAUAGGCACCAGUUGAAGUAUCCUGGGGUAAGGUAUGAUAGGCACCAGAUGAAGUAUCCUGGGGUAAGGAAUGAUAGGCACCAGAUGAAGUAUCCUGGGGUAAGGAAUGAUAGGCACCAGAUGAAGUAUCCUGGGGUAAGGUAUGAUAGGCACCAGAUGAAGUAUCCUGGGGGGUAAGGAAUGAUAGGCACCAGAUGAAGUAUCCUGGGGUAAGGUAUGAUAGGCACCAGAUGAAGUAUCCUGGGGUAAGGUAUGAUAGGCACCAGAUGAAGUAUCCUGGGGUAAGGUAUAAUAGGCACCAGAUGAAGUAUCCUGGGGGGGUAAGGUAUAAUAGGCACCAGAUGAAGUAUCCUGGGGGGGUAAGGUAUGAUAGGCACCAGAUGAAGUAUCCUGGGGUAAGGUAUAAUAGGCACCAGAUGAAGUAUCCUGGGGUAAGGAAUGAUAGGCACCAGAUGAAGUAUCCUGGGGGGGUAAGGUAUGAUAGGCACCAGAUGAAGUACCCUGGGGGGGUAAGGUAUGAUAGGCACCAGAUGAAGUAUCCUGGGGUAAGGUAUGAUAGGCACCAGAUGAAGUAUCCUGGGGGGGUAAGGUAUGAUAGACACCAGAUGAAGUAUCCUGGGGUAAGGUAUGAUAGGCACCAGAUGAAGUAUCCUGGGGGGGUAAGGUAUGAUAGGCACCAGAUGAAGUAUCCUGGGGUAAGGUAUGAUAGGCACCAGAUGAAGUAUCCUGGGGUAAGGUAUGAUAGGCACCAGAUGAAGUAUCCUGGGGGGUAAGGUAUGAUAGGCACCAGUUGAAGUAUCCUGGGGGGGUAAGGUAUAAUAGGCACCAGAUGAAGUAUCCUGGGGUAAAGUAUGUUUUUAUUUAUUUGUUUUCAAAUCCCUCAGUCAAGCACAUCAUGCCCCCCUUUUUUUGUUUAAGCUGAGCUGAAGCGCGUUUGGUUAUACCUUUUUCUCCAUACAUGUAGUGGAGUCUUCCACCCAAGCUCUGAACAGUGGUUGAUUUAGUUGUGUUAGAGGUCAUCCUGAGAUAUAGAGUCUUCUGGCAUCUCUCGGUGUAAUUACAACUAAGCUCCACGUAUGUUGUUAGAAUCUUCUACUACCCUGGUAGAGACUAACGAGGCAAUGUUAACAAGUCAUGUUUUCAUAGAGGUCAUGCUGAGAUAUGAGCCGUAGCAUGGCUACUGUGUUCUCAGAGUGUUGUGGUAAUGUCCACCUGUGGCUCAGUUGGUAGAGCAUGGUGUUUGCAACACCAGGGUUGUGGGUUUGAUUCCCACGGGGGACCAGUACGGGGGAAAAAAUGUAUGUAAUGUUUGCAUUCAC